rnacentral:rRNA from 1 species
CCCAAUUCUAACAGCAUAAGAGAGGUAGUGACAAGAAAUAACAAUACAAGGCAAUUAAAAUGCUUUGUAAUUGGAAUGAUAGAAAUUUAAACACUUUUUAAAGUAUCAAUUGGAGGGCAAGUCUGGUGCCAGCAGCCGCGGUAAUUCCAGCUCCAAUAGCGUAUAUUAAAAUUGUUGCAGUUAAAAAGCUCGUAGUUGAAUUUCUGCUAAGAAUAACCGGUCUGCUUUUAAUAAAAGUGGUAUCUUGGUGUGUUUUUAGCAAUAAUGUCCUUUGAAAUGCUUUUUUACUUUAUUGUAAAAAGCAAUAUUCAGGAUUUUUACUUUGAGAAAAUUAGAGUGUUUCAAGCAGGCUU